UAAAGAUUUAUUUAUUUAUUAUAUAUACAAUGUUCUGUUUUCAUGUAUCCCUGCAGGCCAGAAGAGGGAGCCAGAUGGUAGUGAGCCACCAUGUGGGUGCUGGGAAUUGAACUCAGGACCUCUGGAAGAACAGUCGGUGCUCUUAACCUCUGAGCCAUCUCUCCAGCCCCUCUCUUUUCUUUUGAAGUGGGCUCUUCCAAGGCGGCCUCCAACUCACAACCCUGCUCUGGGGUACAGGCUUGCAUCACUGGCCACAUCCUUUCCUCUUUUGGCUUCUCUUGGUGAUUCUAGAUCUAAAGGCCUUCCAGAUGACCCCUUCCUCAAGCCAGAGGCGCAGGGUGGAGGCCCUGAGGGAUGCUUGCAGAUGGCACACCGUACGCACUGGCAGACACUGCCCGAAUGGCUGCUUCUCCCGCUGUACCCUUCACGCUCGUGUGUGAGUGCUCAGGAAGUGACCGGGGCUUGGGAAGACAGGCUUCUGGCUGUAGGCCUUGGGCGCCAUUUGCUUUCCCGGCACUCAUUGUCUUGUUGUUGUUGAGACAGGGUCUUACUCUGUCGUCUAAAGUGGCCUUGAACAUUCACAUAGAUCCAGUUCCCCCAGCCUUCUGAGUGCGGCUGGGAUUACAGGCAGGAGCCACCACGCCCAGCUUUUGGUCACUGCCUCCAGCUUGCUGGGGUGUGGGCUUAGGUUCCUUCUCCUACCUAGACUGACACCUUGGCCAGAGAAUUCUCCCUGCUCACAACUACCAGGAGGUCGAGACCACAUGGGGGAACUGCUCCAACAGCUUCAGCCGUUUGCUCCUCCCACAGUGGCCAUAGGGGGCUUCAUGCCUUUGGAGACCUCAACCCGCCAGAACGACUUGAGGGAGAGGAUGGUGUCUUGGCCACGAAAACAAAGACAACGCAAGCUCUUUGGAACAUCUGUGGUUUCUGCCUCUCAGCUUCCAGUCCCUCAUCUUCACAGAGGCCCAGUGGGGGAGGAGUGGGAAGGGUUGACCCUAGUCCGGCCUGGAGCUCUAUUUGUAUGGUGACCCUGCUUGUAGCUGUCAUUUCCCAGUUAUAAUGCUGAGGUGGGCUUGGAGGCAGGGAGGGUUGAAAAUCAGGAACUGGGGCUGGAGAUGGAGCUCUAGAUUCAACCCCCAGCACCUCAUAACCUGACAGGGUAGUGCUCACCUGUAUUCCCAGCACUUGGGAGAUGAGGCAGGAAGAUGGGGAGUUUAUUGUCAUCCUCAGUUGUGUGGGGAGUUUGAGGCUAGCCUGAGUUACACCAGAGCUUACCUAGAUGGGUGGGUACCACGAGUGCCGACCUGUGUUGAAGGGGGUGGGUGGGUACCACGGGUGCCCACCUGUGUUGAUGUGGGACUCUGGGGCUUGAGCUGCUUGCACACAGGAUAGGUUCUUAGGGUUCAUUUGUUCCCAAGGCACAACAUAUCUGUGGCUGGGAUGUGCGUCCCUAUCAUGAGCCCUGAGGAAAUGUGAUAGAACUUCUUCUGGGGGGCUUUGCACCUCAUAGACACCCCAAACUCUCGGGCUGAUGGCAGGGGAUGUUUGUCUAGAGUCACUGUCAAGAAUCUUCCUUCCAGCCAAAGCCGAUCCUCAGGCAAGUUUAUUUAACUUCCCUGAUCUCUUUCUGCCUUUUUGAACUGGGAAUAAUAAUGCCUCCCUUACCCAGUGGUGAUGAGAUAAGACCAAUGGGUAAAGUACAGGGCCUGGUACAAAGUACUGCAGCUAAAAAAAGAGGAAUAUUUCAGUCUCCCCCUCUCCUGUCCACACCUGUAGUCUUACCUCCCUCUUUCUCUUACUUUACUUUCUCUAUGUCCUAUCACCAACUAAUCCUUUAUUCUUAUUUGUUCAUUUUACAACUCACUUGAUUCCUGUGUUUGUUUUGAUCAUGGCCGUCUCCAAUGCCUGGCACCCCAUAGACCCUCCCUAGCAUUGUCGGAGGAAUGGAUGAAUGAAGGUGAUUUGAUCUAUAGACAUCUUUCCAGAUGAAAUCUCAUUGCUCACUAAGGGUUGUUAUGAGAGAACUUCAGGGCUGAUGCAGAACCAUGGUUCAGCACAGUAGAGACAGAGAGAGGUGUGGGAGUGGACUUCUUAGAGUUCAUAGGUGUGAGUCCAAAGUGCCAGGAAGAGAAAUGACUGAAGAACUAUCACCCCGAGGAAAAGCCACCUUUCAGGCUUUUAACACACAUUUUAAAAAUUGUAUCUACUUACAUGUGUGUGAGUCGGCUCUCUCCUUCCACCCUAUGGAUCUCUAGCAUUAAACUCAAAUUGUCAGGCUUGAUGACAAGUACCUUGAGUCAUGCCACCUAGUUUUAGUCUUUAUUAUCUGACUAAAGUCCAAGGUCACACUGAACCACAACUGUACACUCACCUGAUGGCAGUUGCCAGGAGGAGCAAAUGUUUGAAGUUGAACAGUUCCUCCUAUGGGGGUUCACGGUACUGUCAGCAGGGAGUAUUGUUCGGUCAAUGCCACCACCUGGUGGACGCCGUGAGCAAGGGAUUGGUGGUGGAAACCUAAUCAGUGCAGGAAGAAGGCGCUGGGGAAACUUCUGCCUUGGGAAGGGUGUGGGCGUGUGCGUGUGUGUGUGUGUGUAUGUGUGUGUGUGUGUGUGUGUGUGUGUGUUGUGUGUGUGUGUGUGUGUGUGUGUGUGUGUGUGUGUGAGUGCACGCGCACGCGGCUGCUGCUGAGAUUUUGGAUGGGAACAAGCAGGUUUAAUCCCUGUGGAGGGCACGGCCGGCACCAUGGGAAGUGAGAAAAGGCCUCAGGGGGAGGAGGAGGAAGCUGGAUUGUUCUAGGGCCUGUCAUCUGCCUUCCUUUCCCCAUUCCCUCCUCCGAGCAUGACUUAAGCCAGGAGGAACCAGUUCCCGGGAAGGCAGAGGUGGAGAGAAGGUCACUGCUGACGUCAAGGACUUUCAGAGACCAGAAGAGGGCAUGGGAUCCUUGGAAUCAGAGUCUCACAGGCAGCUGUGAGCUGCCUGACGUUGCUGCUGGGAGCUGAACUUGGGUCCGCUCUUAACCACUGAACCUCUCCAGCUGGCUCUCUUUCUGCUUCUGACUGUGGAUGUGACUAGCUGCUUCAAGUCCUGGCCUUGAUUUCUCCACAAUGAUGGUCUAUCACCUGGAAUUGUAAACCAAAUAAACCCUUUCUUCGUAAA